rnacentral:tmRNA from 1 species
GCGGCCUGACCGAUUCGAAGUCGUGAUAGACUAGCGGCAUAGUCGUACAAAGACUGCCAUGUUGGUGCGCUUCGGACGGGGGUUCGAUUCCCCCCGGCUCCACCAAAUGCCCGUGCGCCGCACAUCCACUGCGCGGUUAUCUGAUGGGGUCGACCUGGUUUCGACGGGGUGAGGAUACGGAAGCGGACGGCUCGAAAGGUGACGCACGUAAUGCGCACAAAUUUGUAAAUGCUAAUGAUGACAUUUACGCUGUAGCGGCCUAAAUCCGCUUACGGAGCCUUCCCGGCUUGGCAACAGAAUAGGGACUGCGGCCCCUUCGGGGGCCGUUGC